AUCGCUUCUCAGCCUUUUGGCUAAGUUCCAGCGUAGUAUCUGUUCUUAUCAGUUCAAAGAAGAGUCCCUUGUCACUAAUCUAAUUAGCUUUAUGUGAAAAAGUAAAAAAAAAAAAAAAAAAGCAUU
rnacentral:snRNA from 1 species